AUGAGUGUGGCCCGGGGGCCGAGAGAGGAGCCGCUCGAUUCCCCCCCUCCAUACCCCUUCCUACUCGUCACACUGGGUUGCAGGAAUGAGCAGCCGCACGGACGAACCUGAGCAAAUCCUAAACAAUGCGAGACAGCAGAGACACACAGCUGGAGAUAGUUAAUCCUUCAGACUGAGAUCUGAGGUACAACAAGAGGAAGGGGGGAAAAAAAGGAAAGCGGGUCGGCUGAGACAACAGGAGCAUCAGAGGAGGGGAUGGAGAGGAAAGCUGGACGGAAGAAAGGCAAGCGCUGGUGGGAAAGUGAACAGACACAGCCUACUUUAUUCUGCCCGUUUCAUCCAUCUUGUUGGGCUAAUAAAACGUCAAGUGGAGUUCCUUGAUAUUUAAUCAUGAAAGGGUGCCUGAAUGCGUGGUGGUGUAGCGCUCCAGCUUGAUGAAGCUUUGGGAGGCUUAAACACAGAAAUGGAGAAAUUUUUGGACUGACCCCAAAAUGAGAGUGUUUCAAAAAGCAGCUGCUUUACAGGGUUACUGCAUAUGUUUCUGGUAAAAUGUCCAUAGCUGUUCUGAUUCAAGCUUCCAACGUUUCCAAGUGUGUUCUUGUCCCCUAAUAAAAUACAAUUAAAUAAAA